UUUCUUAAUUUCCUCCCCGUUCUCUCUGUCCAUUAUCUUCCCCCACGACAGCGAGCUCACCCAUGGAAAAUCCCCUACACGGCUACACCUUCGCUGGCUUCCCCUCGCCGGAGCUCCGCCUUGGCCGUCCCCCCUCCGUUGAGCUCCUCUCUCUCGACCCCCGUGCGGAGGAUGGAAGAUACAACCGUUGCGACCUGGUGUCGAAAGUCUCUUUAGGCGGCCGGCGAUCUAUGGCACGGGGCGGUGGAGCAAGCCACUUGGGCCGGAGGUAGGCGGCAGCAGGCGAUGCUGCUUGGGCGACGAGGCCGGCUACAACUGUGGCUUCCUCGAGCAGUUCCCACAGCCAGGUUGGCCAUGACGAAUACCGGCGACCCGACUGUGCCGGCAGACGGUUUGCUCAAAGUUGUCCCACUCCCGUAGCGGAGCCGGCGGCAUCGUGGAUCUCUACGUAAAUUCGUCGGGCCAUGAGGAUACUGAGGUGGACUACAGUCUAAGACAGGCACGCCUUGCCCUUCGGUCAAGACAUUGUUGAGGCAGGUGCGCUCAGCCUUGAUCUUCAAUUCUUCACACGCAACGUCACAGAAGUCUAAUUUGAUGGCUUCACCUAGGAUUCGUGUCUCCUCCAACCUCAGCCGCGUUGCUGCAAUAUUUUGCAGGCUGCUCUCUUCUUUACGGUUGAUGUGAUCAUUUGGUCGACAUGUGGCGCUUGCGUUCAUACACUGACGGACAAGGAGCACAAACCGACUCAAAAGGUGCGGCUCAUAAUAUAUAAUUUAGGUGGAAUAUCAAAUUGAAGAUCUCAAGGCAGUAAGCUUGACAGAGAAUAUAAAGAGGUUUCAAAAAGUGAUGCUCCAUCUGUUAUACUUUUGUCUUCUAAUUAAUCAGUAUUGGGGAUACCAUGGUGCUCCAAAGGAGACUCCCAACUUCCCCUAAAAGAUAAUUGGCUUAUAUUAUUGAUGGUAAUCCUUAUUCACUUAUGUUCGGAAAGCAAAAUUAUUAAGCAGUUAAAUUGUAUCCAAAUAGUGUCUUGUAAUUCUUGAAAUGCUGAUUGGUCUUUUCUCUCAGCCAACAAAAUAAUUCCUCUUGGAUUAUUGUUAAUGUUGUCACCUAUUUCACAUUGGUCCAGAGUGUUCUAUGGUUGCAUCAGAAAAGAAGGCAGAAAAUGAUUAUUUUCUCCGUUCUUAAUGUUCAGUACAUAAUAAUAUUGACAUUCUUGGAACUUCUCAUGUCGUUCAGCCAUUCUUAUUUGACAUUGGACUGACAUUUUUAUCAUGAGACAAGUUAAAAUUUGUGCUGGGCUAGAAAGAAGGCAGUAUGUGCUCUAUAUACAGAUCGGACUGAAAUUCGGAUGGAAGAUACACAUUUGCAUGUAUAGUUUCUCUUGCGUAGAUUUGAAUAAGUACAUGUACUAUUUAAUCUCGCUCCCACUAUUUUGAGGUUGGUAUAUCACAAAUAGGUAGAAUGUGUAGGUAACCUAGAACAAACAUUGGAAUUAGAAGUUAGGAUGUUUACUUUUUGUGCCCAGUAUUGAUAAAUGAUCUAAUUGCUUUUGGCGAUGUUGAUGAUCUAAACGAGCGUGGGAGAUGUAAAAAGCUGUUUUAUAGCACUAUGAUUAGACCCUUUCUGAUUAUACCUUGAUAUUCUUAGUAAUUUACUUCAAGCAUGUGGUUAGGAGGAAUUUGAGUUUGUAGCCUGACAAGUAAUUAAUGAAAUUGUGGCUUAAUAAUAUUUUGCUCAAACAUUUAGGAGCAUAGAGGCACCGUGUCAACAUAAAUGUUCUAAUUGAUAUAUAUAUACUCUCAGCAAUUUACUACAACCAUGCAGUUAGGAUGAAUUUAAUGUUGUAGCCUGACAAUUAAUAAAUGAAACUGUGGCUUAAUAACAUCUUCCUCAAAUAUUUAGGGGCAAGAUAAGCGUUCAUAAUGAUAUCUGAAACCUGUCUUUUGUUGUUUAUAGUGUCAUUUGAAAGGUCAGCAAUUACACUAAUGCAGACAUGGAUACCAGAUCCUGCCGAGAAUCUUGACACCUGGUUCGAAACAGCUAUCGGUAAUGCAGAUCCCUCAGUUCAGAAGGGAGCCAAAUCGAUCAUCCUGCUUACCAUGUGGAGAUUAUGGAAUGUGUGCAAUGACGCUAUCUUCAAAAACAUAGGAAAGUCUGCGAGAGAAAAGGAAACAGGCAGCCAGGCAGGCGCUUAACUUCUUAUAAAUUUAAGCAAUUCUUUUUGUGAUUACUUAGUACAUACUGCUAAUCAAGGAACUCAACAUCUAUUAAAACAUGGAACUAAACAUCUAUUAAAUGUUGGAUGUUUCCAUUAACCAUGCCCAGUAAUUGUUUUACCUCUUCAACUGUAUUGUAGGUUAAGAUGCAGGAUAAAAGCAUCCAAGAUGAGGAGUUCAUAUUCACCAACAAGGAAUGGACAAAUCUACAGCAGCAAUGGCGUCAUCUCUCUUCUUUUGUGAAAGGUCAAAAUUUUCUGGCUUUUACUUGGGAUACACAUUGUAGAUGAGAGAGUUUCUUUUUGGAAGAUUAUAUGUGUCUUUUGUAAUGAGCUAAAGAUAAAGAAAUGUUAUAUUUCAUUCCUGGAAUGUCUGCCUGGACAUGCUGGAAGUACCUGUGACAUUUUCCAAGCUACAGAUUUGUUCGUGGUACCAUUAAAUUAUAUCGGUUGUCCCUUUCCAUAUGGAAGAUAUUACAUCA